rnacentral:rRNA from 1 species
UACGUAGGGUGCAAGCGUUGUCCGGAAUUAUUGGGCGUAAAGAGCUCGUAGGCGGUCUGUCGCGUCUGCUGUGAAAACUCAGGGCUUAACCCUGAGCUUGCAGUGGGUACGGGCAGACUAGAGUGCGGUAGGGGAGACUGGAAUUCCCGGUGUAGCGGUGAAAUGCGCAGAUAUCGGGAAGAACACCCGUGGCGAAGGCGGUUCUCUGGGACGGUACUGACGCUGAGACGCGAAAGCGUGGGGAGCAAACAGG